rnacentral:rRNA from 1 species
UUGUUGGUAAGGUAAAAGCUUACCAAGGCUUCGAUCAGUAGCUGGUCUGAGAGGACGACCAGCCACACUGGGACUGAGACACGGCCCAGACUCCUACGGGAGGCAGCAGUGGGGAAUUUUGGACAAUGGGGGCAACCCUGAUCCAGCCAUGCCGCGUGAGUGAGGAAGGCCUUCGGGUUGUAAAGCUCUUUCAGCCGGAACGAAACGGUUACGGAUAACACCCGUGACUACUGACGGUACCGGAAGAAGAAGCACCGGCUAACUACGUGCCAGCAGCCGCGGUAAUACGUAGGGUGCGAGCGUUAAUCGGAAUUACUGGGCGUAAAGCGUGCGCAGGUGGUUUUGUAAGUCAGAUGUGAAAGCCCCGGGCUCAACCUGGGAACUGCGUUUGAAACUACAAGACUAGAGUGUGGCAGAGGGGGGUGGAAUUCCGCGUGUAGCAGUGAAAUGCGUAGAGAUGUGGAGGAACACCGAUGGCGAAGGCAGCCCCCUGGGUCAACACUGACGCUCAGGCACGAAAGCAUGGGGAGCAAACAGGAUUAGAUACCCUGGUAGUCCAUGCCCUAAACGAUGUCAACUAGUUGUCGGGCCUUUACGGGCUUGGUAACGUAGCUAACGCGUGAAGUUGACCGCCUGGGGAGUACGAUCGCAAGAUUAAAACUCAAAUGAAUUGACGGGGACCCGCACAAGCGGUGGAUUAUGUGGAUUAAUUCGAUGCAACGCGAAAAACCUUACCUACCCUUGACAUGUAUCGAAGCCCGCAGAAAAGCGGGGGUGCCCGAAAGGGAACGAUAACACAGGUGCUGCAUGGCUGUCGUCAGCUCGUGUCGUGAGAUGUUGGGUUAAGUCCCGCAACGAGCGCAACCCUUGUCAUUAAUUGCCAUCAUUUAGUUGGGCACUUUAAUGAGACUGCCGG